UUGAACGCUGGCGGCAGGCCUAACACAUGCAAGUCGAACGGUAACAGGAAGAAGCUUGCUUCUUUGCUGACGAGUGGCGGCCGGGUGAGUAAUGUCUGGGAAACUGCCUGAUGGAGGGGGAUAACUACUGGAAACGGUAGCUAAUACCGCAUAACGUCGCAAGACCAAAGAGGGGGACCUUCGGGCCUCUUGCCAUCGGAUGUGCCCAGAUGGGAUUAGCUAGUAGGUGGGGUAACGGCUCACCUAGGCGACGAUCCCUAGCUGGUCUGAGAGGAUGACCAGCCACACUGGAACUGAGACACGGUCCAGACUCCUACGGGAGGCAGCAGUGGGGAAUAUUGCACAAUGGGCGCAAGCCUGAUGCAGCCAUGCCGCGUGUAUGAAGAAGGCCUUCGGGUUGUAAAGUACUUUCAGCGGGGAGGAAGGGAGUAAAGUUAAUACCUUUGCUCAUUGACGUUACCCGCAGAAGAAGCACCGGCUAACUCCGUG
rnacentral:rRNA from 1 species